AUAGGGACCGCGGUAUCGGUCCUCGUUAAACUGUUAAUUAACAGUGCUCGUUAAACUGUUAAACUGUUAUAUUAAAGUGGAGGAGUCAUCCCCUCUGCAGAGAAUCAAAAUUGCGAUGGCAUGUCCUUGGAUUAUCCUCGGUGAUGUUUCCCAAAUCAUGAUCAAUAGUCCAUUAUGCAGCUCUAAUGCGAUGUAAAUAAAAGUACUUGCUUACCUACCUUCUACUUGGUAAAGGUUUAUAAGCCUUAGUUGAGCACAGAAGCCUGCAAAUGUAUGCAAUUUCAAUAAAGCAAUGCUACUGCUUAAUGUGUAUCUAAACUCAAUUUUAUGUAUCAUGAGCGGGAAAAAAAUUAUGGAAUCACCAUUUAACUAUUAUUGAGAUAAUCGAGUUAUUUAGGCAAAACAAAUCAUAACUUUGUUGAAUUGCGAAGAUCCCAUUCUAAACGUUAAUAUGGAUUGUUUGUAAUCUUUCAUUGUGGAAUUUUUUUGCUUGCAAGAAAUAUCAUAGACAAAGCAAACAAUAAAAGAAAUCCUAUUCAGCAUGAUAAUGUGAGUUUUAAAUCAAACGUGAAAGUUUAAAGGUAAUUUUUUGCUCAAAGCUGUGUAAGAUCAAAAAAAAUAAAUUAAUAAAUAAACAAGCUCGAAAGUAAACUAUUUUAUACAAAAGAAUGAUUACCUUGUUGCCUUGUUCACCCAGGAACCCUGUGUUAGGGAAAGCGGAACUGACUUUAGCCUAUUAUCUUGCUCAAGUUUUGUGAAAGACGAGAACUUUGAGACGGAGAAAGACUUUGCGGUGGAACAUUAAAAUUGGAUAUCACAGAAUUUCUAGAUGUGUGCCGAUCUUCAAAAAAAGUUCUAAUUUAAACUAUACAACAGGCGUUUUGGAUGAGAUAAAUUUUCAGGAAGAAUCAGCUUAUGAAGCAUAUUGAAAAAAAAAACUGAAGCAAAUUAUAGUAGUGAUAGAAGGAAAUACAGUUUUCAAAUAUUGAAGGUUAAUAUGGAGUAUGGUGUAGAAUAAUAAUAUGGAUCUGGGGCAUUUUAAAA